AAAUAAGAAACAAAUUUUUUGUAUUUAGUUUCGACCUAAAAUUUUGAUGAAAAAAUCAUCCUUAUUUA
rnacentral:tRNA from 1 species